rfam:Glycine max cultivar Williams 82 chromosome 15, whole genome shotgun sequence.
UUCUUAUUGGAUGAUGACUGUCAUGUGUCAUGUUGUGAUUAGAUGUCAACUCCGUGAAAGAUGAAAUGAAUUAUUAUUUUCAUUGACCAAUCAGAACAUGACACGUGACAAUCAUCAUUC